UCUUUUAUAGUUUAAAUAUAAAAUAUCAGAUUCAUGCUCUGAAGUUGAUAAUCGAUUAGGUUAUCUAAGAGAU
rnacentral:tRNA from 1 species